rnacentral:rRNA from 1 species
CGGGGAAUUUUGGACAAUGGGCGAAAGCCUGAUCCAGCAAUGCCGCGUGUGUGAAGAAGGCCUUCGGGUUGUAAAGCACUUUUGUCCGGAAAGAAAUCCUUGGCUCUAAUACAGUCGGGGGAUGACGGUACCGGAAGAAUAAGCACCGGCUAACUACGUGCCAGCAGCCGCGGUAAUACGUAGGGUGCAAGCGUUAAUCGGAAUUACUGGGCGUAAAGCGUGCGCAGGCGGUUUGCUAAGACCGAUGUGAAAUCCCCGGGCUCAACCUGGGAACUGCAUUGGUGACUGGCAGGCUAGAGUAUGGCAGAGGGGGGUAGAAUUCCACGUGUAGCAGUGAAAUGCGUAGAGAUGUGGAGGAAUACCGAUGGCGAAGGCAGCCCCCUGGGCCAAAUACUGACGCUCAUGCACGAAAGCGUGGGGAGCAAACAGGAUUAGAUACCCUGGUAGUCCACGCCCUAAACGAUGUCAACUAGUUGUUGGGGAUUCAUUUCCUUAGUAACGUAGCUAACGCGUGAAGUUGACCGCCUGGGGAGUACGGUCGCAAGAUUAAAACUUAAAUGAAUUGAC